UACAGAGGUCUCAAGCGUUGUUCGGAUUCAUUGGGCGUAAAGAGCUCGUAGGCGGCUUGUCGCGUCGACUGUGAAAAACCCGCGGCUCAACUGCGGGCCUGCAGCCGAUACGGGCAGGCUAGAGUUCGGUAGGGGGAGACUGGAAUUCCUGGUGUAGCGGUGAAAUGCGCAGAUAUCAGGAGGAACACCAAUAGCGAAGGCAGCUCGCUGGGGACGUUACUG
rnacentral:rRNA from 1 species